CUAACUUGGCCCCCGUACUAAAGAUGCAUGGCUUGAUUUUAAAGUUAUGGUUAUGAACACAAAGCUAAUUUCUUGUGAAUUAAUCCCUAGAAUCUCUCUUUCGGCAGGUUCUUAUUUAUCUAUGCCUAUAUGUUGUUCCAUGAAAAUACAAGUAGACUCCAAGGUGGUGCUGCUUGGAUCUGGGGGAGCACUGGUGAGCCAUCCCUUCUCCGCCACCAUCCCUGAUUUCUUUGUGUGCAGUACAUAUGCAUGUUGUUUUAGAGCUACCCCCGUAUACAUCUGAUUAGUGAUUAACUUGCUGCAAAGAAGCCGUGUAGUCAUGAAAGUUGAACCAUGCCUGAAUUAGAAAUGACAGUUUUGUUGAUUUGCCUACUUUAUCUCAAGAACACGCCAUCCAUUGAUAUUUUCUAUAGAUCUUAGCUUCACUGUUCGAGUCUCUCGUGAGUGCAUUAAUCCCAAUCUGACACAAGAUAUUAUUCUUUGUUCCCCUUUCAUUUUGUUACUUACUUGUAGAGAGAAUGGAUCUUAAUUUUGAUUUUAUGAAUAGCCACAUCAAUUCUCUGAUUGUGGCACACACAAAUAAUUAGCUCUCUUCACUUCGAUUUGAAUUUGAGAGUAAUCAGUAGAGGAUUGGAUUCAUGGUCGCAAGAUCUCUAAGAUCGAUUAACUUGCUUUUAAUAUUAUAUGAAGUUCAAAUCCCUUUAUAUUCCAAGACAAGAAACACUGAGUUGUAAAACUCUGUCAGUGUUGAAUAGUGUAACAAAACACAUAUUGGGAUAAUUCUACUUUAAUUUGUUUGCCAUACUUACCAGCUCACCUGAUUUACCAGCUGUAAGCUUCAUUGAUCCAAAACCAUUUUAGCCAUCAUGAGAUCGAAGUUUGUAGGCCCCCCUUGAAUAAGCUAACGUUUCCACCUUAUUGUGGGUACCACGAAAACAUUAAUAAUAAGAGGCACAAACAAAUAUUAUUUUGUUUGUUUAGAUGAUGCAUUUCGUAACGUAUCAUGCAUUGAAAUAAUGAAUCCCUUGCUAUGUAGUAUUAUUUGUGCAAUUCCAUGCUACUCUGGGUGGAAGUUAUGUAUUAAUACUUUCAGUAUUGAUGGAUGGAUAGAUGUAUUGUGGUAAUAUAUAUUUUUGGGCACCCUGUGUGAUAAUAUUUUGAGAGAGUCUACCUCGAGAGAAUUACAUGAUGCAAGGGGUAUAACUUCGGUUCAGAUUCUUAUACAUAGUUCUCCUUAUAAUGUAGACUGUGACGUAUGAUGCUUCCAUGGCUUAGUUCAAGGAAUGACUGAUGCUAUUUUCUUGCCUAUGGGUUUGGGCUACUAAUUUUUAUUGCCAUAAUUUAUUGUUUGUCAUCUAAAAAGGAUUCAGAGGGAUACAAAGGGUCCUCUAAUUUGCAACCGAUUAAACUGCUUGGUUCCUGAUUCAUAUUUGUUUUUCUAUAUUAUGGACAACCGAUUAAGAAUAUUUACAGAGUAGGAGUCUUCGUUUGAUGCCACAUUUGACAUCACCCAGUUUGUGUGUAGGGUGCUUAAUAAGUUUCUUGAGAUGUAUGCACUGCAUGAAGGAGCACAUUUCUGUCAAUUUUACUAGAGGUCAAGGUUACCUUCAAAUGCAUGUAGUUAUUUGUAAGCUUCAACAGCUUGAAUGCAAUGGAAGUUUGGAUUGAAAGGAUUUUUGGUUGGCUAUAAGGAAGAGAGUAGUUGAUGGCCAUUUGUACUGUUGUUGUGGUCGUCCUUGGCGCAGAAGGGGUGGCGGGGGAGGCACAGAGAUGGGGCAAACCUUUCACUGUGUCUAAUCCACUUGAUUCCAUCAUUUUCUAUGAGAUGCACCAAUGAUUGUAACGAAUCUUCACGCUUUGUACUAAACCUUUACUACUAUGUAUUUUGUUUGCUCCUAUGUCAUGAGAAAUUCCAAAUGUUGGAUUUGUGCCUGGCACAUGCCGCGAGCCGGCUCAGUUGUCCCGGGCCUUGCUUUUGGAACAAAUGUUUGCUUACCUUGCUUUUGCUAUAUCUUCACCAUUUGUGAUGUACCAAACGUUUUCUUAAUCUGUAUGCUCUAAACUCGGUUUUCCUGGGCAACAACUAUAUACCUUACUUUCAGUAUAUCUCUAGUGUUUGUGAUUUGUACAUAACACAUUUGGCUUGACCAGUUAUUCUAAUUUCCUCUGAAUGUACAAAAUGCUAUGUUGGAGUUUUAUGCGUU
rnacentral:lncRNA from 1 species